rnacentral:rRNA from 1 species
AGUGAACGCUGGCGGUAGGCCUAACACAUGCAAGUCGAACGGCAGCACAGGAGAGCUUGCUCUCUGGGUGGCGAGUGGCGGACGGGUGAGGAAUACAUCGGAAUCUACUCUGUCGUGGGGGAUAACGUAGGGACACUUACGCUAAUACCGCAUACGACCUAUGGGUGAAAGCAGGGGAUCUUCGGACCUUGCGCGAUUGAAUGAGCCGAUGUCGGAUUAGCUAGUUGGCGGGGUAAAGGCCCACCAAGGCGACGAUCCGUAGCUGGUCUGAGAGGAUGAUCAGCCACACUGGAACUGAGACACGGUCCAGACUCCUACGGGAGGCAGCAGUGGGGAAUAUUGGACAAUGGGCGCAAGCCUGAUCCAGCUAUACCGCGUGGGUGAAGAAGGCCUUCGGGUUGUAAAGCCCUUUUGUUGGGAAAGAAAUCCAGCUGGCUAAUACCCGGUUGGGAUGACGGUACCCAAAGAAUAAGCACCGGCUAACUUCGUGCCAGCCGCCGCGGUAA